ACCUAGUAUGUCCAAACUAAAACUGCAUUAGUGCUCUCGACACUAGUGCAGUAUUCAAUUGGACUACACCAAAUCCCAUGAUUUACUAUUCCUCUUAAGGGCAUUGGAUUAAAAAUGUUAACCUUAAUAAAGUUUAAAAUCAACAACAGCGUCCC
rfam:Drosophila busckii chromosome X sequence.